UGUACAAUAAAAAAAGCUCUGAAGU
rnacentral:piRNA from 1 species